GACAGCUGGUCGUUCCCUGGCGCACCAGAGCCGAGUACAGCUCACGGGGACCAGCCACGGACUCACGCCUGGGGAUGGCGUCGCUCGGCGUGGGUCUCCAUCCCGUGGAUCAUCGACUGUGAAAACCUUGCAAGUCGAUCGUAAAGAUGGAUAUAUCAGUUUGGAAUUCUGCCUCCAAGCCAGAAUUGCAGGAAUGCACAACAUGUUGCAGAAGACUUUUUCACUGCCCUCUGUGCCCCACUUUCAGCCCUACUGUCAGGGCAAAGAUUGAGGAGCAUAUAAAUGGACACAUUAAAAAUGCUUUGCCUUUCAAAGACAAAAUGAUAUGCCGGUGCACUUUCACUGCCCUGUCUGUAACAUGACAGUCAUACAGCGUGGGGAUAUGGCAAGGCAAUUAUUGUCACAUCAGCAUUCAGGACUGCUCCCCACUGAACUCUCCGAGGAGCCCCGCCUCUCUCCCGCUGCACUCUCGUGGAGUCCCAUCUCCCUCUCCAUGUCUUGUCUCCAGCAUCUAAAUGAAUCGAAAUCUUCGGUAGAACAUUCAUGUGUUCUACCCUCUGUGCUAAAUGAAACUGCGGCUUAUGGAAAUUCCAUGAAAAUAAAAUGCCCUCACUGUGGUCUUAGUCUUCUUACAAAAAAACAAACCAAAAAAACUUCAAAGCUCACAUGAUGAGGAGGCAUUCAAAAAGAUCAAUAGAUAUUUGCCUGGCCUGUCAUCUGCAGUGUUUUUGUGUAGAGGGACUUCUUCCUCUUUGUUUUUCAGUUUGCAGAGGACAUGGAGCUUUUUUAAAAGCAUGUGCUGACGAGCAGGGACUUGCGAUGUUUGGCAUUUAAUGGACUGAUGAAGGCACUGGCUGUUUGUUUGUGUUUUUUAUGUGUUGUUAGGUUUUUUUUUCAGUGUACAGAAUUCCAAUUAAACUUAUUAUAAAAUGUUGUUCACUUGUUUCCAUGUCCAUACUUAUAGUAAAAAAUGUAAGUGUAAAUGUAACAGCAUUUUUUAUAUUUGUAACUUCAAAGUAAAAAGCUUACAGUUGCUAUUAACAUUAAUGUAUUACCCUGUAAUCGAUAAUAUUUUUAUACAUUUUACGCAUUAACCCUCUGGGCUCUAUCCUGGCCAUUUGUGGCCACUUCACUUCUUUUCCUUUUGACUACUACACUCCAUUGGACCAAAAGAAUGACACAGGUUUGAUCUUAAGGAUCUAAUAGUUGUGUGUGUUUGUGCAUGACAUUGCAACGCAAAUAUGUAUUUGCAAGAUAGACUGGAAUA